CUGCCUCCCAGGUUCAAGCGAUUCUCCUGCCUCAGCCUCCCUAGUAGCUGGGAUUACAGGAAUCUGAGAAAAAGGGGUUGAUUGAAAGAAUCUAUAUGGUACAGGAUAUUGUUUCAACUGUUCAAAACGUCUUGGAGGAAAUAGCUUCUUUUGGAGAAAGGAUUAAGAACACAUUUAACUGGACGGUCCCCUUCCUUUCAUCUCUGGCCUGUUUGAUUCUGGCAGCAGCCACCAUCAUUUUGUAUUUCAUUCCACUGCGGUACAUCAUUUUAAUCUGGGGCAUAAAUAAAUUUACUAAGAAGCUUCGAAAUCCCUAUUCCAUCGACAAUAAUGAGCUACUAGACUUCCUCUCUAGGGUACCGUCUGAU
rnacentral:lncRNA from 1 species